UCGGAAUUACUGGGCGUAAAGGGCUCGUAGGUGGCCAACUAAGUCAGACGUGAAAUCCCUCGGCUUAACCGGGGAACUGCGUCUGAUACUGGAUGGCUUGAGUUCGGGAGAGGGAUGCGGAAUUCCAGGUGUAGCGGUGAAAUGCGUAGAUAUCUGGAGGAACACCGGUGGCGAAGGCGGCAUCCUGGACCGACACUGACACUGAGGAGCGAAAGCCAGGGGAGCAAACGGG
rnacentral:rRNA from 1 species